UUUCUUUCUUUUUUUUUUUUUUACUUAAGGUUCAAGGAGUUUCCGUUUGAAUACAAUUAGACUCUUGUGUGAAUGUAUUGAUGAAGUUGGAAAAUGUUAGAAACAUAUCAAAACUAGGAUCCAAAUUUCUUCUAACUUUUAUGUUUAACCAGUAGUUCGCCAAUGUCCAAAACACCAGGAAAGAGCUCAAGAUUAGAAUACAGAUGAAAAACGGUCAUAUAGCAUAAAAUAUGGUUUUAAUGGAGCAACUUCUACGGAAUCCUGGUUUGAUAAUCCAUCUCUACCAUAACUUGCCGGGCUGUCUCAGUGGUCUUGAAUUCAGUUCAUUGCCAAGAAGACUUAACGAGGGAUGCAGGUUAGAAAUGAAGUCUAUAAAUAGCUCCCAAUAGCUAUGGGGUCCAGUGUGCCUUCUCAAUUUCAUCCUCUAUUUUCACUCCAGUAUCAAGGAAAUUUGCAGCCUCUGUGCGUUUGUUUCUUUGAACUACCAAGAAAUGGCUUUAAAAUUCAGUUCGAAGCUUAUUGUUGUUGCAUUUCUGAUGCUGGCAAUGUUGGCUUCUCAGCCAUGUCCCGCAACUUGAAUCAUGAAGCCUCAGUGAUCGGAAAACACGAGCAGUGGUGCGGCAGCAGAAGCGUAGGAAACAAAAGGGUUUCACGAACACCCUCCAAACGAGAAUUAUUACUCGAGCGAAAUCUAGUCAUGAAUCAUAGAUUCAUAAAAAUCAGAGAAACUUUCACAAUUAAUAAACACCAACCAACGACAUAUUUAUUUUGGAGAAAAGUCUGAUAAUUACAAAUGCCCUAACUAUGCCUAUUUAGAGGUUACAAUGAGUUCUACUCUAAAAAGGAAACAAGACACACAUAAAACCCUAAACCAACAAAACUAUGUAUAUUUUGGCUGGAAGCAUGGCUGGCUCUAUGUCAGAACCAAUGAUCACCACCCAUCUUAGUGGCUCUACAACCUAAACAGGAACCAGAACAUGAUGGGCAAUCUGAUGGGUCUUACGUCGGGUGCCCUACUCGACUUGAAUCAGCUCCAAUCACAAUCUUUCUUCCUUCUCCACACAAUUACAAUCCUUAUUCAUAAAAUCAAUAAGAAAACUAAUAAAAAUACUACUAAAAACACUAUGACUACCCAAUUAUUCAAUCUAAUUAACCUUCUAGGUAGCCCUACUGAUACGGAUUGCUGGGUUAAGGAACCAAGGGUUCCUCAAACCGUAUCAAGUGGAUGGCUCAUUACGGAUGUGUUUACAAGGAUGAGGUCGAGAAGGCUGACCGAUACAAGAUUUUCAAGGACAAUGUUGAGUUCAUUGAGUCAUUCAACAAGGCUGGGACUAAAUCUUACAAGUUCGGGAUUAACCAGUUUGCUGACUUGACCAAUGCGGAGUUCAAAGCAACACGCAACAAGUACAGGAACCUUGUUCAGGUAUGAACAAGUGAGUGCAAUUCCAGGUUCCAUUGACAGGAGAAAGAAGGGCGCAGUCACAGGAAUUAAGGAUCAGGGCCAAUGUGGUAAGCUAUCCUAGUAUUGCAGUUUGUCUUUCAAUUUAUAUACAUUUGCCGAACAAUUCUCUCCAAAGGACUAACUGUGGGUAACCCUUUUGUUCACAAAAAUGCAGGAUGUUGCUGGGCAUUUUCAGCUCUUGCAGCUUUAGAAGGGAUUCCCGGCUCAAAACUGGUAAAUUGAUCUCAUUGUCUGAGCAAGAGCUAGUGGAUUGUGACGCUGCUGGUGAAGAUCAAGGCUGCAAUGGAGGUCUCAUGGAUGAUGCAUUUACCUUCAUAAUUAAAAACAACGGUCUCACUACUGAAGCCAAUUAUCCAUAUCAAGCUGUCGAUGGAACUUGCAAUACUAACAAAGAAGCUAGCUCCGCUGCCAAAAUCACUGGAUAUGAAGAUGUCCCUGCAAACAAUGAGGCUGCACUUCUGAAGGCUGUAGCCAACCAACCUGUAUCAGUUGCCAUUGAUGCUAGUGGCUCUGCCUUCCAAUUCUAUUCAAGCGGCGUUUUCACCGGGGAUUGUGGAACUGAACUAGACCAUGGUGUGACAGCAGUUGGAUAUGGUACAAGCUCUGAUGGAACAAAAAUAUUGGUUGGUCAAGAAUUGUUGGGGAACUAGCUGGUGUGAGAGUGGAUACAUCCUGAUGCAGAGAGACAUUGAAGCCAAAGAAGGUCUCUGUGGCGUUGCCAUGCAAACUUCUUACCCUACUGCCUAAGAUCAAGGUUGUGUCUGCUGUGUCUGUGUAUACGAGUGUUUUGCGCGUUUCUCAUAUUAUUGUUGCAAUCUUUAUCAUUAUGUCAAUCAUACAUGUUGUGACAUCUAACUAGCCAAAAAAACGAAACAACACAAAGGAAUUUGGAACUCCAGAAGGAAGGAUUAAUUUGGAACUUGGAAGAACUGCUUCAGUUAUGUCUCCUUUUGGGCUUUGGUUGCAUGUCGUUUUCCUAAUUCCUUUUGGAGCUUAAGGUAGGUGGGCGAUAAAUUGGAUGAAAAAGGAUUUUUUAUGUACUUUUUUCUGUCCCUUGCCAUGUUAAAUGGUCUUGAAAUAGAUUGCAUCAAGAAGCAUUAUCUUUUUUCUUUUUAAAUUUUUUCCAUUUGCUCCAAGUGUUCUAAACUUUGUUUUUUUUUGGGGGGGGGGGGGGGGGUUGGGGUGUUCGCCAUUGGACUAAAACUUGAUUUAGAUAUAACGAAGCUUCAGGAAUUUUCUCCUUUUCCGCCGUUAUAAUAUCAAGAUCAGAGUAAUUUUCCUUGCCGUAUAUGUCUGUUUGACGUAAUUUACAUAAAAGAUAAUGUUAAAUGAUAAUUACCAAUGAUAAUGAUUAAAGUAAUUUUUAAACCAAAGAGGCCCUGGUCUAAUGACCAAAGAGACCUUGGUUAAUUCUCUAACAAUUAAGGUCUUCGGUUCAAAUCCCUCUAUUUCCUUCAUACUUUAUAAACCUCACCUUCUUGCUAAUUAUUUUAUAAGGUAGGGAAAAAUUCAAAAACAUAUUUGUUUUAAAAAGUAGGAUUACAUUUGAUAAAAUUGAAAUUUGAAUCCAUUAAAUGAUCCUUCUUGGUAAUUUUUUUAAGGGAGGGAAAAAUUCAAGAACAUAUUAGUUAAAGUGUAAGGGUGUGUUUGAUAAAAUUGAAAUCUGAAUCUAUUAAGUUACUGGAUUGUUAAGUGCUAAAUUUGAUAUAUUGGAGUAUAUAUUACAUUAAGUGAUAAAGUAAAUAACUUAUCACUUAUUGUUUAGAGCAAAUUUUGGUUAGAAAAUUCAGCACUAUUUAAUUAAUUCACGUGUUUUUUUUAUUAUCAAAUACAUCUAAACAUGUUAAGAUCUGAAUCCAUUAAAUUUAAGUGAUGAAUUGGAUUAUCAAAUAGGGUUUAAGUUUUUUAUACAUUGUUAGUGAAUGUGUAUGUGUAGAUAUAUAUAUAUAUAUAUAUAUAUAUAUAUAGUGUCAACCUUCUUGCUACUUGAUCUCAAGGUAGGGAAAAAUUAAAGAACAUAUUAUAGUUAAAGAGUAAGUUUUCUAUACAUUGUCAGUGUAUAAUUUUUUUCAUGCUAGCAUAUUCACCUUUCUUGCUAAUUUUUUUUUUCAAGGCAAGGAAAACUUCAAGAACAUAUUAGUUAAAAAGUAAGUUUUUGAUACAUUGUUAGUGUACAAUUUUUUUCAUACUAGCAAAUUUUAAACAUGCCAUAUAACACGAAUUCAAAUUUGAAAUUCAAUAAUGCACAUGUGUUGAUACAUCUAUAGCUACUAUUAUUAAAAAAAAAAAUCACUGCACUAUCAGUGCAUAAAAAGUGAAUCCUUAGUUGAAGUACAACUAUGCUAACAAAAUAAACCAAAGCUUUGGAGAUUUUUAUCUAAUUUCUUAUUGUUUUAUUAGUGUCAAGUUUUGGAUAGUUUUCUAUCUGAGUUGAGAAGUUUUUUAGGUAUUUAUUUAUGUGGUUGUACUCUUAAGCACCAACUCUAGUGGCUUAUGUAGAGAGGGGCCCGUACGGUUCAGGACUAGUACGACUCAAUGUAGUUGGUGUACUUUUUACAUUAUUUAGUAUAUAAUUACAUUAUAUCAUUGUACUCAAGAUAAAGGUGAUAUAUAUAAAUAAAAUAUUUGACAUAUAUUCAAUACAAUAUUAUGAUAUAUUAGUACAUAAAAAAUUUAAACAUGUACAAUAACUAGAUGGAACCGUAUAAAGCACAAUUGUAUCUGAGUCCUUGUCUAGACUUACAUACACGUGAGUAAUCGCAACGGAUCUUUUGUCCCAAAUCCUGUCUCACACCCUAUCCCAUUUUUUCUAAUCUUGCCAAGUGUCCCAUGUUAAACUGCCACACUAUUGCACAACGGAAGGUCAAUUGGGUCUGUUUCAAUGGUGAAGCUAAUGACGAGAGGACAGAUGUUAAACUGAGUUUUAGAGCUUUUUUUAAUUGAUUAUUGUGAUUUUGUGAGAUAGUUUUUAUUUUAAUCGGUUUUGGUUGCAGAGAUUUAAGAUUUUCUGUCCGAUUAAUUGAUUAAUCAAUUUAACAUGGUUCAGGUUGGGUUGUUUGACAAUUUGAUUUAUCAAGGGACACUUGGCAAAAUUAGAAGAAGUGGAACAGAGUGUGAGACAGGAUUUGAGACAGAAAAUCCGUUGUGGUAUUGAUCAAAGUAUUUGCUUAGGAUAGUCUAGAGAGUCCUUAAGCGCCAACUCUAGUACGUAUAUAUACGCGAUUAUUGGUUACUUGAGAAUUCCUGGGGAACGCAUUGGGGUGAGCAUGGAUACAUUACCAUGUAUGCUUCUUAUCCGACUGCUUUAGUAGAGGAUUCGUGAGUCUUUAAGUGAACCAUCGCUUAAUGGUCGAGAGUGUGACAUGGGAACAACUGGUUUAUAAUAUUCUUUUUUUUUUUUUUCCAGACGGAGGGGUAUCCGGGCCAUCUGGUAAAUCGAACCCGACUAAUCCCCUGACCCGAGAGAAGAUGCCCCGUCCUCUCGAACACGUUAACCCUGAGACUCGAUCCUUGAUGGAGGAGAUGGACAACGACUGUUUAGGAGAUGUCGUGACCAAACGAGCUGCCCAGGAGGGGCAACUGGUUUAUGAUAUUCAAUAAGAGGAAAUAUAUAAAGCAGAGCAUAUCCUGCUUUUACAAUAGAUCUAUAUAUAGAGAAUAAAAAAUAUAUAUAACAGCAUCUGCUAAUUGUUUUUGCCACUUAAAAGUCAAUUCCUUAGAUGAAAAAAGACAUGUGAACUAAAUGGCUACGGAUAUUUCAACAAAUUUGAUAGGAAAAAGAUGACAAAAUAUCAAUGUCCACCAGGGCUGACAAAAUAUCAGUUAAUUAAAGUUUAUGAGGUUGAUCCCGAUGGCAUGUCGACCAGGCCACAAAGACUAAAAUGCAAGUACCUCUUAAACUAUACUAUUUUUUUGGUAUGAAAAUUUGAGGUACUAGAACUCAUUAAACUUUUAGCAUUUUCACAUGAUAAACCUCAAAAAGGGGGAAUGUAUGAAGUUAAAAGUGGGGUGCAUAAUUCAUUACCAAAAAUGAAUUACAAGUUCACGCAAAUAUUACUAAUUCUUCCUUUCGAGUUAGACUGGUAAUAUUUCUUUUCUCAGCAUAUAUGGGCAGCACCAAAAAAAAAAAAAAAGACUAUUCCUCCAAAAAAAAUAAUAAAUAAAGAAGAAGAUCAUACUUCACUAAAGAGACCAAACAUCAUUUAUUGUGGCAAAAACAAGAAACAAUACAUGUUGAGCUGAUAAAGGCUAUAUGAGAUACGUAAUAAAAGGCACUGCAUCACAAGACAAGAUGCUAGUUUCAUGCUUAUAACAUCAGACCGUGAUAUAUAGAAAAAGCAGAAUUGCUUUCUAAUUAAUGAAGCACCAGCAAUUAUUUCAACAUUUAAACUAUUCUAAGCAGUGGGAUAAGAAGCCUGGCUGGCGAUGCCACAAAGGCCUUCUGGAGCACCAGUGUCUCUCUGAAGGCGCAUGUACCCAUCCUCACCCCAGCUAGUUCCCCAGGAAUUCUUAACCAACCAAUACUUGGUUCCAUCCUCACUUGUACCGUAUCCAACUAGUGUCACGGCAUGGUCCAAGUUAUUCCCACAAUCGCCGGAGAAAACGCCGCUUUGAUAGUUUUUGAAGUCCAUGCCGCUGCCUUCAAUGCCAACUGAUACGGGUUGUUUAGACACGGCCUGCAGAAGAGCAUCCUCGUUAUUCUGAGGGACAUCUUCAUAACCUGUGAUCCGGACAGCUCCUUGGUCGUUAUUGCAAGUGCCAUCAGCUCCUUGAUAUGGGUACUCGGAUUCAGUGGCGAGGCCAUUGCUAGCAAUGAAAUUAAAUGCUUCAUCCAUGCGACCUCCACUGCAGCCAUGAUUACUACUGGUAUCACAGUCAACAAGCUGUUGCUCAGACAGCGAGAUUAGCUGACCGGCUUUGAGUUUAUGAAUUCCUUCUACGGCUGCAACAGCUGAAAAUGCCCAACAACAUCCUGCAUUUUCAUUAUCCAAAGGGGUUUUUCAUCCUAAUUAGCCCAACUUCAUAUAGACAUUUUGGCAUGGAAAGCAUAUACUAAUGGUGGUCAAAUAUUGGACUUACCACAAGCUGCCUGGUCCUUGACUCCAGUGACAGCACCUUUCUGUCUCCAGUCCGUGGAAGGCGGAGCGUCACUGACAUCUGCAUACCUGAAUGAAGUUCCUUGAGAUACGUCUUUCCUUGGUUUGUAGUUGUACCCAGUGCUGGCUGAUAGGAACUCUUCGUUUGUCAGGUCAGCAAAUCGGUUAAUGCCCAACACGUAAGACUUGUUCCCAGCCUUGUUGAAGGCCUCAAUGUACUCCACAGUUUCCUUGAAAAUCUUGAAUCGCUUUGCCUUCUCUGCCUCAUCCUUGUAAACCCGUCCGUGUUCAACCAUCCACUGCUCGUGCUUUUCAGUCAAUGAGGCUUCAUCCAAGCUGCGGGCCGUAGCUUGAGAAGCCAACAUCGCCAGCAGUAAGAAUGCGGCAGUAACCAGCAUAGAAUUGAAUGUCCAAGCCAUUGUUUGAUUAAGAGCUCAAAGAAACAAGUGAAUGGAAGAAUCUGAGAGUAUAAAGCCAAUAAAUUAUGGUGCAAAAGAUUUGAAUGGGAAGCCACACUGCUUCCAUUCAGAAUACCAGCUAGCUAUUUAUAGAUUUCAGUUCGGAAAGCUGAGUUAAUUAUGACCAAAUUUCCAUCGUUUUGGUCCUAGAAACUCUGGCAAAAUUAUGCCCUAGAUUGAUGGGCAAUCAGAAGCUCGGUUGGCAUGCGUGAGCGUUGGUUUUGGGGCAGACGUAGGAAGUAUUUGUGAUACUCUUUAUCAAACUAUUAAGAAUUAGUUAUAUGUGAUACUCUUUAGUGAAUGGUCUAUUUAGAAACAACUUUAUUCCCCUUUUCUUCUAAUGAAACCUAUCCUGAAAUUAUGCACUAUUUCUUACUUAGACAUUUGUACCUUAUGCUCUUGCAGUUUAUCUUAUAUUUAAGUAAUUGAAGAAAUAUGAAACUAAAAAAUAAUAUAAUAUAUUGAAAAGCGGUGAGGUGUCUUAAAAUAAAAAAUGUUUGCAUCUUUCACAUUUGGAAACAUCUAUAUAUGACUACACUAAUAUCAAAUCAGGUGAUGCAAUGUAUCCAAAAAUUGGAGUUUUGAAUGCAACGUUCAAAAUAAACACGAGUUAAGGGUAUAAUUCAACUUGAUUUUUUUAGGUAAAUAAUAAAGAAAAGUACAACAGAUGGGGAUGGCAAACCCGUCUAUUGUCCUCAUCAAAAGCAAAGGAUACUUCACGGGGACAUGAUUCAAUAAACACAAAGUAUCUAUCCAGAUUACAUCCCAGUAUAGCUAGUGGUGCAUCAGCACAUCCCAGAAUCACUUUAGUUGAACAAGAAGAUGCCAUCGAAGUCUAUGCAGCAAGUCCAGUCGGAGAAGUUGAUAAACUGCCGGAGUUCAUUCUUCCCCGUCGAACACUCUUGUGCUCCGCGAUUGGUAAGGGUAAGGACAAAAAUUGAUGGCUGUUCAAGACCUGUAAUGAGCAAGACCUCAGUAAUUUGUAAACCAAGAAGCUGAUUCGCUAAUGAAGUCUAUGCGGCAAGUCUUGCAGAAGAAGUUGAUGAAGUUUCGAUCGGAGUUCAAUCUGCCCCGCGGAACAUUCAAGUGCCGCCGCAAUUUGUGUAAGGAUUAGGACAGCAGAAGUUGAUGGCUGUUAAAGAAAUGUAAAGACCGGGACCUCAAGUAAUUUACUGCAGUGUAACGGCGAAGACCUCGAAAUUCAUGUCCCAUGCAGCAAUUUCUGUGGAAUUGAUAAAGUCUCCAUUAGAGUUCCGUUCGGAACAUGCCAAUGGCGGAGUCAGGACCCUAGAGUUAGGGCGUCAAUUUACGAUAGCACGAUAAUAGUAGAGUUUAAAACCAAUAAAUAUGUCCAUCUUAAAAAUUCAUACUCUCCUAUGGUAAAUAUACUUUUUUUUAAUUUAAAUUGCGCUUAAAAUUUAUAGUGAAAAUUACCUUUGAAUUAACAUUUUUGGUAAGUCUAACACUCUUGUGAAGGGUGAUGAUUAUAAUUUUUUAAUUAUUUUUGGGAGCUAUGUAUGAUAGGAAAGGGAUUUUUUAAAAUUUUAGAAGGGCAAAUAAGUAACGAUAUUAGAAAUUUCUGAACUUUCUAAGCUUAAAACAUAAUUUUCUCAAAAUUGAGGGGGUGCAAUUGUUCUCCCUCAACUAUAUGUGGCUCCACCGCUGAAACAUGCAAGUGCGACCGCGGUUACUAAGGCCGACUUGCAAGGACUAGAGCAGCAAAAUGUCACGCAGAGAGUGAAUUAAGUACCGAACUUUAUUUUAGUUUUAGUCUAUUUGAGUAAAUUCCUAGGGUUGAAAGAGAAAUGAAAUUACUUGAUUCUCAAAAUCAUCUCCAUGAGAAAAGAGUUUGGUUUGCUAACUAAUCAAGUUAAUUAUAAAUAGUAUUUUGUGCUCAGUAAAAUUUUAAAUUUAACUUGAACUUGAUUCAAUCAGCAUAAAACUUGAAAUUUAUGUGUAAAAAAACUCAAGUUACUAUAAAUUGAUUCAAGCUUGACUUGAUUAAAGGUUAUUUUAGUUCAAUUUUUUGAUAAGCAAAUAUGCCAAAUUUGAACGUAUUGCUGAACACAUUAAAAUAAAUAAACAAAAUUAAACACUGAAGUGUUUGGGUUGAGUAGACUCAUUUACACUUGUAUAAAUGAUGCCAUUAGUAAUCCUUGAAAUUAAGUUCCUCGUGCUCUUAGUUAAAUCCUCAACUUUUGAAUGUGUCAUCUUGGCUCUAAUCUUUUCAAUUUUCAAGCCAAAUUCAAGUUUUUUUUUCCAUUUUAAUUGCCUUCCUUGGGUUUGACUUGAUGUCAAUUUAGAAAGUAGGCAAACAUUUUUGCUGCCUCUUAUGGUUUUAUUUAAAUUAAUUAGUGUUUAAGGUACAUAAUAUAUGCGUGCCGGUGAUUAAAAUUAUGAUCACUUGUAAAUAUUUGUCACAAAAAAUGUUUUUCACUUGGAAAAUAUUUAUGGUGAGGGUUUCUUGUAUUGUGUUCACUUAUUUAUUUGGUAGUUGCUAACGUAAUUAAAAUCUCUACAUUAAGCUCUUAAAAAUAGGAGGCUGGGGAAGCAAUCAAUUCACUAAAUUACCCUUGAAAUUAUUAUUUCUGUAUGUGUAGAAAAGGUAAAUACUCUUACUAGUGAAGAUAUUACAAGAAGUUUAAAAAAUGGCAAAUAUGUACUGGCACCACAUAGUGGACUCCUCCUUUGUGUAUUGUGUAGACUAGGUUAGUCUAACUGUGGAAGUCACAGCCGAAAAUUUUAUUUUAAUUCAUACUCUCUUGCAUAAUUGCAAUGUUUCUAAACUCGGACUGGCCAGUGAAUCGGAGAAGGGAGCAGUUCACGGUCCGACCGACCGAUUUAUCGGUUCAUUGAUAUAUAUAUAUAUAUAUAUAUAUAUAUAUAUAUAUAUAUAUAUAUAUAUAUAUAUAUAUAUAUAUUAUGCUUGCAACUUCAGUACUAAGCACUCACAGUCACAGGUCGUCACUCUACACUUGAACUUGACGACUCAUGCACAAUCCAACAUAGUUAUUGAUAACUUAAGUCCUUAAAAUGCAUUCAUCAACACAAUUUAAAACUAAAUUUAAGUUGAGAUAAUAAUAAAAUUUCUAAAAUAUAUACAUGAAAUGGAAUGAUAAACAUAACCAAAAUUUCUAAACCAAGUUGGACUGUCUGCAUCAAUUAAAAAAAAAAACCACCUAUUUUGUACUUGUACUCCCCCAACAAAGCAAAAAGGGUACAAACCAGAGAUUUUUAAAAAAAAAAAAUCGAAGAAAGAAAUAAUAGUUAUAAAAUGAAACUAAAAUUAAAAAAAAAAACUAAUGGAAUAAAUUCAUACCUUGAAGACCUUCACUGGAUUGGUCAAUGGCACUGCCAACAAAACAAACCCCAGUCAAUGAUGAUUGCCUGGCUUCGAGUUAUCUUUAUCUAUAAACAAAAAUAGACAAAAAAGGACGAAUUCAUGUAAAAAAAUAAAAUAAAAUAAAAAAGAAACUAGAUUACUAGAUUAGUGCUUCUUUAGAUUUCCUUCAAAAUUUACCUGUGCAUUACACGAACUGCAACUCUGCAACUGAGCCAAAGAAAUCAUACAAAAAUAGUUCAAUUCAUGGCCGAAAGGCUAAAAGGAGAAGAGGGAAAAGAAGAUAGAGGAGGAUGAGCCGAUGAGGAAGUAAAGCAAAACAAAGAAAUAAGAGCCGACGUGUCUUAGUCGCUAGUGCUGGGGUUUCUCUUUUUUAAUUUAAUUUUUAGUUUUUCACUAAAUAAGUUAAGUAGAUUUAUACACAAAAUACGUUUGUCCUGUGGUUGUAGUCUAACGGUAAGAAAUCCUUCUUGUUGCCUUAAGGAUUACGGUUCAAAUCUUAGUGGUUGCAUUCUUGAAAUUGUUUUCAUUUGAAAAUUUUUAAAACUGCCGGUUCACUGUCUAAACGAGGAUUAGGGUUCAAAUCUUAGUGGUUGCAUUCUUGAAAUUGUUUUCAUUUGAAAAUUUUCAAAACCGCCGGUUCAUUGUCUAAACGAUUUUUCACAGUUUGUCCAGUUCACUUGGUUUCUAACGAUUUUUCAUUAAUCUCCGGUUUUAGCAUUAGACCGGACCGUUGAAAUGUCCGGUUUGCAGUGCAGUCCAAUUCUGAAAACAUUGCAUGAUUGUGGUACCAAUUAGCUGAAAACAACCGAUUUGAGGAACACUUAUGGAGAUAAUUUUACACAAUGAAUUGUAAGGUAACGGAAGAAAAUCAAAGACUCAAAAUCUUAACCCCUUAACUAGUCUCCAUUAUUACGUUGGCAGAUCCAUAACAUAUUGUAACUGUAACUACUUGGCUAACUAAAUCAAGACUGUCGGGCAUACUCUCCAAGCCCAGACAACUAGAUGUAAUCGAGAGUUUGCUAAAAAUGCUUAAAAACUAUAAUUUUUUUUCUUGUUAUCAAAUACAUUUGAAUAUGUUAAUAUCUAAAUUCAUUAACUUUAAAUGCUAAAUUGGGGUUUUCAAAAAAGGCCUAAGUUUUUUUUAUGUACUAUCAGUCAGUGUUUUCAGAACCGGACCGGACCGGCCGGUUCAACCGGUUGGACCGCGAACCGGACAGGCCAACGGUCCGGUCUAGAGCUAAACCCGGAGAGUAGUCAAGAACCGCUGGAAACCGGAUGACUCGGACGAACCGGAAAAACCCGCUUAGACCGUGAACCGGCGGUUUUUGAAACUUUUCAAAAUGAAAUUCCAAAUUGUAGCUGCCAAGAGUCAAACACCAAACCUUGUGUUUGUUAUAAGAAGCCCUUACCACUGAGCCAUAGGCAGCGGACAUGAUUAUUUUGUGCAAAUAUCUACUUAACUUAUUAAAUGAAAAACUAAAAACACCCUAAACCUAAGAUACAUCAAACUUAUUUCUUUGUAUAUAAAACAUAUAUAAAUGCAAAGAUAGUAAUAAUUGUUAGUAUAUGUAUAUAUAUAAUAAAUUAGGUGUAUUAAAUGUGUUAGGACAACCGUUAAAAAAAUCCUUUAAUAAAAUAGCUUUUUCAAAUUAUUUUUUAAAUUUUUGUAGAAAAUGUACGACAACGAUUUAAUAUGUGUAGAAUAAAAAUAAUCAAGAAAUAAAUUUGUGAAAAAAUAAAAAAUUAAAAAAAAUGACAAUCUAAUUUGGUAACUAAAUUGAAUUGUUUAGAUAAGUUAUUGUUUUCAAAAAUUUUAAUUACAUCAAAAACACUUGUGCUUUACAUCACAAAUAUAUUGUUGGUAUAUCUAUGUUUGUUAAUGUACUCCCCUUGAUUAUUAAUGUAAUCCCCUUGAUUUUUUAAUUUGUGAAAAUAAAUAAAAAUACUUAGACUUUUAAUUUCAGUUACAAUCUCACAAUAAAAUAAUGGUUGAAAUGCAAUAAUAGAUAGAAAGAUUGAGUAGGGAUAUUCUUGCUCAAUUGACAUUGUAGACAAGUAUUUAGGAAAAAAAUUGAUAAGUAAUUAUUAUUUUAAAAAAUAUUUAUAAUUACAUUGUACACAUUCGUACUUUACAUCAUGACUCCUUGAUUUUUUUUUUUAAUUUGUGUGAAUAAACAAAAUACUUAAAAAUUUUAAUUUCAAUUACAAUCUCAAAACAAUAUCGUAGGUAGUAACAUUGAAUAAGGAUAUUGUUACCUAACUGACUGGUAAAUAAAUAUUAAAUAAGGGAACAUUGAUAAAUAAUUGGGCGCUAAUAACAAUUUUCUAGUGGACAAAAAAUGUGAAUAUGGAGAAUUUUUUUUCUUUCCAAUGAAUAUGGACUGAGUGAGAAAGUCAAAUGGCCGAAUUGAAAACACAAAUUUGAAAAAAGUUAAAAAAGAAUUAUUUUUUUAACCCAAAUUAUUUAAUGCUACAACCACUCACUUUUAUCUCAUUUUUUGUUUCUUAUCAAGUUUGCAUUUCUAUUUUCGAUUCUCUUGACUUCCUUCGAACUCCAAACUUUCUUUUUUAAAUUGCAAUCUCUAAAUCCCAGAGGCAUAAAUUUAAAAUUUAAGUUUACAAUGUCAAAUCCUCAUAGACGUGAAUUUUGUAUAAUUUCAAAAUAUUGUGAUAUUUUUUGGAUAGAUUUAAGAUUAUUUUGGUAGAUAUAAUUGAAAUUGAAAUGAAAUUUAUUUGUUUUAACUUAUAAUUUAAAAAAUUUAUUUUUGAAAAUCCAAGUUAUUCAAAAAUAGUAAACUUUUCAUCAUAUAAAGUUUUAAAUUAGUCUAUUGCAUGUCUUAUUUUGUGCAUAUAUAUAUUUAUAUAAAUUAUUUUUAAAAAAAUUCAUUGAACCGAGGUUGAACCGGUCCGACCGGUUGAACCUCGACCCUUUCACUUCGCCGGUUCAAUUGACGGUCCGGGUUUUAAAACAUUGCUAUCAGUGUGUAUUUUUUAUUUUUUUUUACAUUAAUAGGUUUACCCUUCUUGCUAAUUUUUUUUCUUAAGGUAGGGGAAAAAUUCAAAAACAUAUUAGUUAAAGAGUAAGUUUUUAUACAUUGAAUCUUAAACCUCAUCCUUCUUGCUAAUUUUUUCAAAGGCAAGGAAAAAUUCAAGAAAAUAUUAGUUAAAGAGUAAGUUUUUUAUACACUAUCAGUGAACAAUUUUUUUUUCUUUUUACACUAGAAGAUUCACCCUUCUUGCUAAUUUUUUUAAGGUAGGGAAAAAACUCAAGUUACAUAUUAGUUACAAAGUAAGUUUUUUGAUGCAAUGCAUUGUCAGUAUAUAAUUUUUUUUUUUUUUACACUAGAAGAUUCACCCUUCUUGCUACUUUAUCUCAGGGCAAGGAAAAAUUCAAUAGCAUAUUAGUUAAAGGGUAAGUUUUUAAUACAUUGUUAGUGUACAAAUUUUUUCAUAAUAGCAUAUUCACCUUUCUUCCUAAUUUUUUUGUCAAGGCAAGGAAAACUUCAACAACAUAUUAGUUAAAGAGUAAAUUUUUUAUAUACUGUCAGUGAACAUUUUUUUUACACUAGCAUAUUUAGAUCAUGCCAUAUAAUAUAAAUUCAAAUUUGGGAUUCAAAUCAUUCACAUAUGUGAUGCAUUUAUAACUACUAGUGUUUAAAAAAUCACUACACACAUGUGAUGCACUUAAGAAGUUUAUGAGGAAUUUAUCUGUGUGGUUGUUUUCUUAAGCACCGACUCUAGUGAAUUAUAUGGAGAGGGCUAGUGCAGUCAGGUACAGUUCAGUCCGGUUAUUGUAUUUAUUAUAUUAUUUGAUGCGUAAUUACAUUACAUUAUUGUAUUCAAGAUAAAAUUAAUAUAUAUGAAUAAAAUAUUCAACAUAGUACAAUAUUAUGAUGUAUGUGUACACUACAAAUUUAAACAUGUACACUGAACGGACCAAACCGUACAAAAACACAAUUGUAUUGAGUCCUUGUCCAAAUUUAUAUAUACGCGAGCAACACGAUAUUUAUCAAGGUAUUUUGUUAGGAUAGUCUAGCGAGUUCUUAUGCACCAACUCUUCUGACUUGCGCGAUUAUUGGUUACUCAAGAAUUCUUUCCCGUUAUUAUGAAUUCUUCCUUUCCAGUUAGACUGGUAAUAUUUCUUUUCUCAGCAUAUAUGGGCAGCACCAAAAAAAAAAAAAAAAACUAUUCCUCCAAAAAAAAAAUAAUAAAUAAAGAAGAAGAUCAUACUUCACUAAAGAGACCAAACACCAUUUAUUCAGGCAAAAACAAGAAACAAUACAUGUUAAGCUGAUAAAGGCUAUAUGAGAUACGUAAUAAAAGGCACUGCAUCACAAGACAAGAUGCUAGUUUCAUGCUUAUAACAUCAGACCGUGAUAUAUAGAAAAAGCAGAAUUGCUUUCUAAUUAAUGAAGCACCAGCAAUUAUUUCAACAUUUAAACUAU
rnacentral:lncRNA from 1 species